GAUGAACGCUGGCGGCGUGCCUAAUACAUGCAAGUCGAGCGAACAGACGAGGAGCUUGCUCCUCUGACGUUAGCGGCGGACGGGUGAGUAACACGUGGAUAACCUACCUAUAAGACUGGGAUAACUUCGGGAAACCGGAGCUAAUACCGGAUAAUAUAUUGAACCGCAUGGUUCAAUAGUGAAAGACGGUUUUGCUGUCACUUAUAGAUGGAUCCGCGCCGCAUUAGCUAGUUGGUAAGGUAACGGCUUACCAAGGCAACGAUGCGUAGCCGACCUGAGAGGGUGAUCGGCCACACUGGAACUGAGCCACGGUCCAGACUCCUACGGGAGGCAGCAGUAGGGAAUCUUCCGCAAUGGGCGAAAGCCUGACGGAGCAACGCCGCGUGAGUGAUGAAGGUCUUCGGAUCGUAAAACUCUGUUAUUAGGGAAGAGCAAAUGUGUAAGUAACUAUGCACGUCUUGACGGUACCUAAUCAGAAAGCCACGGCUAACUACGUG
rnacentral:rRNA from 1 species